UAGAUCUGGGAAAGUGCAAUAGAUGUUCUGGUGUUCGAUGGAAAGAGUCACACCCUGCUUGUAGAAUACAUUUGUACAUCAUUUAGGAUAUAAUGGAGGAUUGGAAUGAGAAACUUGUUACAGCUGCUAGGGAGGGAGAUAAAGAAGCCUUAAAAUUGUGCUUACAGAAUGAUGUAGAAAUUGAUUAUCAAGGAUGGGAUGGAGAGACAGCAUUAAUGAUAGCUGCCUAUGAAGGACACCUGGAGAUCUGUAGACUCCUCAUUGAUACAGGAUGUAAGAUCGACAUCACAUCAAC